CGUCACGUGUUUCUCUCCUUGGAGUGAGACUGAGUCUCGGUGGCGGCUGGAGGGGGCCGGACUCAUAAACACAGACACCGCCGCUUGUUUGGGUUUGGGGCGCUCCGAAACUCCGAGAAGCAGCCGGAGGAGGAGAAGUCAGCCAGGCAGCCCCAGACCCGCCUUCAGCCUGGGGCAGGGGAGGGGGCUUUGCUGUUGCCCUCGGCGCCUUUCCCGACUGGAAUGAGGAGGAGGAGGAAGAGAGGAUGUUCCUUCCCCACUUGGGCUGCUUCCCCUCCUGCUGCUGCCUGGUUGCAUUUUGUGUUGAAAUGGCACUUUCUCUUCCUAACGAGAUGGGACUGAAUGGGGUCGCCAGCCUCCUCACGCAUAAGCAGAAGCAGCAGCCUCGGCGCUGAUUUUUGGGCUGGGCUGUGUUUUUAGGGGGGGAGAAGAGGCGUGUGUUUUGGGGUGUAAGCCCCGGACUUUGCAAAACAAACCGCUACCCAGAGGAUCUUUAAUCUGUUACAGAGAUUGCGCUCGCUGAGGCGAAGUUGUGAAGGGGAGGGUGUUUUGGAGCAAAGCAAGGGGGACCCCCCUUCCUGCUCCUCUCUACAGAGGAAUCCGACCCAUACGACUGAAAGAUGCGUUUCUUUUCCUCCCCGGCGGCGGCUGCUGGGAGAGCUAGACUUUCAUCUGGACUGACUGAGACUGGACUCUUUAAGGAUAUAUUGACCCUCCUGAGGGUGAUUUGGGCAUAAACAGCAAUAUAAACGCUGCUGUGGUGCUGGAAGCUGCCUCUGCCACUGAACAGCUGCUCUCACCCUGCCAGUAUCCCCUCCCCCCACCCCGUUUUGGAGAGGGGAUUCCGAGCUAGUUUGCUUUUUUAUUAUGAUUGUUGUUGCAUGAAUUGUAUUUUAAGAGGUGGGGUUUUUUUUCUGCCUUGUUUGGCAGUUUUGGGGGCCUGUGGGCUGAUAGCUGCAGUAAAAACACCACCACCUCUCCUUCCACUAUGGCUAGCCCCACGGAUAAUAAUGAGGGCUUCUUCUCAGAUGUCAGGAAGGUGGGUUACUUGCGCAAACCCAAGAGCAUGCAUAAACGCUUCUUCGUGCUGAGGGCAGCCAGCGAGUCAGGACCUGCCCGGCUGGAGUACUAUGAGAAUGAGAAGAAAUGGAGACAUAAGUCAGGAGCCCCCAAGCGUUCCAUCCCACUGGAGAGCUGCUUCAACAUCAACAAACGGGCAGACUCCAAGAACAAGCACCUGGUGGCCCUCUAUACCAAGGACGAGCACUUUGCCAUUGCAGCUGACAGCGAGCCUGAGCAGGAGAGCUGGUACCAAGCCUUGCUGCAGUUGCACAAUCGGGCCAAGGGCCACCACCACCUCCAUCAUCAUCGUCACCACCACCACCACAGUGAUGUCUCCUUUGGGGGUGGCAGUGCAGGGCUGGGGGAGACAGGUGACGAUAGCUAUGGCGAGGUGGUGCCUGGUCCAGCUUUCAAGGAGGUUUGGCAAGUGAUCCUGAAACCUAAAGGUCUGGGCCAGACCAAGAACUUGAUCGGCAUCUACCGCCUGUGCCUGACCAACAAAACCAUCAGCUUUGUGAAGCUGAACUCAGAUGCAGCUGCUGUGGUACUGCAGCUGCUCAACAUCCGCCGCUGUGGCCACUCAGAGAACUUCUUUUUCAUAGAGGUUGGGCGUUCAGCGGUGACUGGGCCUGGUGAGUUCUGGAUGCAGGUGGAUGAUUCAGUGGUGGCACAGAACAUGCAUGAGACCAUCUUGGAAGCCAUGCGGGCCAUGAGUGAGGAAUUCCGGCCCCGCAGCAAGAGCCAGUCCUCUUCCAACUGCUCCAAUCCCAUCUCUGUGCCCCUCCGCAGCAGACACCAUGUCAACAACCCCCCACCCAGCCAGGUGGGGCUCAGUCGCAGGUCCAGGACUGAGAGUGUGACUGCUACCUCCCCUGCUGGGGGUGGUGGUGGUGGAGGAGGAACAGGGGGCAAACCCAGCUCUUUCCGAGUCCGAGCCUCUAGUGAUGGGGAAGGAACUAUGUCCAGGCCUGCCUCUGUGGAUGGCAGCCCAGUAAGUCCCAGUGCCAACCGGACCCACUCACAUCGGCACCGUGGCAACUCCAGGCUUCACCCUCCACUCAACCACAGUCGCUCCAUCCCAAUGCCUUCUUCACGCUGUUCCCCUUCAGCCACCAGUCCAGUCAGCCUGUCAUCUAGCAGCACCAGUGGCCAUGGCUCCACCUCAGACUGCCUCUUCCCACGCAGGUCCAGUGCUUCGGUAUCAGGCUCCCCCAGUGAUGGUGGUUUCAUCUCCUCCGACGAAUAUGGCUCUAGCCCCUGCGAUUUCCGCAGCUCUUUUCGCAGUGUGACUCCAGACUCUCUGGGUCACACCCCGCCAGCACGGGGGGAUGAGGAGCUCAACAACUACAUUUGUAUGGGGGGCAAGGCUGCCUCGUCCUGCAGCUUGGCAGCUCCCAAUGGCCACUUCAUCCCUCGCAGUUGCCACCCACAGCAUCAGCAGUGCCGCUAUCCUGGCACCCCAUGCUGCCCCCGGAGUGGUGGAGAGGAGGUAACUGACCUGGAGAAGGGCUUCAGGAAGCGGACUCACUCUGCAGGCACCUCACCCACCAUCUCCCACCAGAAGACACCCUCACAGUCUUCAGUGGCCUCUAUUGAGGAGUACACGGAAAUGCUACCUUCCUAUCCUUGUGGUGGCAACCGGCUGCCCUCCUACCGGCACUCUGCCUUUGUGCCCACUCACUCCUAUCCUGAGGAGCAUUUGGAGAUGCACCACUUGGAGGGCAGCCACCACCGGACCAACUCCACCCCACACACUGAUGAUGGCUACAUGCCAAUGUCGCCUGGGGUGGCCCCUGUGCCCAGCAGUGGUGGCACACCCAAAGGUGGUGACUAUAUGCCCAUGAGCCCCAAGAGCGUGUCAGCCCCACAGCAGAUCAUCAACCCUGGCAGGGGGGGUCGCCACGCCCAAGCCAUGGUGGACUCCAAUGGGUACAUGAUGAUGUCCCCUAGCGGCAGCUGUUCGCCUGACGCUGGUCCUGCCGGCUACGGCAAAAUGUGGACUAAUGGGGCUGGCCACCACCCAAAGCUCUCAGUAGAGAGCAGCGAAGGGAAGCUCCCCUGCAGCGGCAGUGACUACAUCAACAUGUCCCCAGCCAGCGGCUCCGCCACCAGCACCCCCCCGGACUGCUACUUCGCCACCUCGGAGCCGCCGGGCCCGGAGGAGGCCUCGGCGCAGGGCCCGGCCGAGCCCCCCCACAAGCCCAUCUACUCCUACUUCUCCCUGCCGCGCUCCUUCAAACACGUGCAGCGCCGGGCAGCCGAGGAGAGCGGCCCCCAGCUACGCAUCUCCCUCAGCUCCGGCCGCUUGCUCUACGCCGCGGAGGACUCGUCCUCUUCCACCAGCAGCGACAGCCUCGGGGGAGGCGGGGGCCAAGAGGGCGCCGGAGGUCCCUACCAGGCGCAGCCCCCGCCGCAGCAGCCUACCCGUCAGGCGGCCGCGCAGAGCAGGAGCCGCCUGACCAGACCCACCCGCUUGUCCCUGGACGGCCCCAAGGCCAGCACUCUGCCGCGGGCGCGGGAGCAGCCCCCGCUGCUGCUGCCGCCGGAGCCCAAGAGCCCCGGCGAGUACGUGAACAUUGAGUUCGUGGCCAGUGACAAGCCGGCUUUCCCGUCGGCCGCGCGGCCCCGAGGGGACGAAGGCUCCGAGUACAUGAACAUGGAGCUGGGGCCGCCGCGGGCUGCCUGCCAAGCCGGCUUCGCAGCCGUACGGGCGGCAGCUGCGGCCCGGCCAGGCCGAGGAGCUGCUGCCCUCAGCAGCCGGGACUAUGUGACUAUGGAACAGGGGGGCGGUGUCGGGGGGCCCUGCCCGGGCUGCGCCGACCCCCCGUCCCCCGCGCUCUUGCUCAACUACGCCGACAUGCGGACGGGCCGUGCCGUUCCGGAGAACCCCCCUGCUGCCCCUGCCUCCGCCCAGGCGCAGCCGCCGGCCGAGCUGGCAGCGGCGCCACCGCGCUCCUCCUCCCUGAUGGGAGGCCCGGGGGUGAACAGCGCCUUCACCCGCGUCAGCCUCAGCCCCAGCCCCGGCCGCAAUCAGAGCGCCAAAGUGAUCCGCGCCGACCCGCAGGGGGGCCGCCGGCGGCACAGCUCCGAGACCUUCUCCUCCACCCCCAGCAACGCCCGCGGCACGGCGGGCAGCGGCGGCCUCAACGCGCCCUUGCUCUACGGGGCGGGGGGCGCCGAGGAGGUGAAACGCCACAGCUCGGCCUCCUUCGAGAACGUCUGGCUCCGGCCUGCCUCCGGGGAGCUGGGGGCGGCCGCCAGGAGGGAGCAGCAGCCCCUCGGGGCCGGGGGUGGCUUUGAGAACGGACUCAACUACAUCGACCUGGACUUAGUGAAGGAUUUUAAUCAGCGUCGCCAAUACCCCCACCACCCCCAGGAGGGCACCUCUGUGCUGGGGGGGAGGCAGCCGCCGCCGCCGCCCAAAGCCCCUAAUCAGCCUUGUGGGAGUAGCCACUCUAGCGACGAUUUGAGUGCAUAUGCCAGCAUCAGCUUCCAGAGGCGGGAGGACGUCUAAUAGCUGGGCAAGAGCCAGAGCCAGAGAGAAGGCCAGCCCGAAGACUCUGUGCUGAGUUUGUGUUCCUUCCAGCUCCCUCGGAGUGGGUGGAUCAGUGCAGCCCAGCCCAGCCUGCCAUUUACUACAUCAUCUUCUGGCUUUCCUCAGCUGCACAGCAGAACAGUCUAGCUCAGCCUGCCAGCCUGCCUGUGCCAGUACACCUCCUGCGUUCAUUCCAGCUCCCUCAGAGUGUUUGAGUGUCCUCCUCCAGCCUGCCGUUUCACUCCCCUUCCGCUGGCUUCUCUCGGUAAUUCAGCAUAGGGGUCUAUCCCCUAACGCCAGCCUUUCUGCCAUCCAGAUAGUGGGGUCCUGCAGGAACAGGUUGGACUCCCCCAAUUGUAUUCCAUCUCCCAUGAUGCACUACAGCCAUAGGAUUGCCAUGAUGCACUGCCUCCCCUCUUAAAGAGUAAAGACCGUGGGUGGUGUGAAAGCGAAGAGGAGAGUCGUCACGUUUGCAGCAGGUUGGAAACCGUUUUCUAGCUCCAUCUCCCAGAGAGCCAUUACUAUUGUAAGGAUUCUACAAAAAGAGGAAUUUUGUUUGUUCCAAGAGGUCAUCUGCUUCUUCUCCUUAUUCCUCAUCUGAAAUGAAUGAUGUCAGAAUCCAGAGAUGUAAGAUGAAUUUUCCUAGCCAAUUUCCAAUCUGAAAGGCUCCAAAAUAGAACAGCAAUAUUUGACUCCAUCUAAACUCCAUUCCACAGCUUACUAUCAGCCAUGGGAAUUUACAAGCAUUCCAAAGAGGCUGAGGAAAUCCAGGAAACCACAAUGACAGCUCUACUUGAAAAAGACCAUUAUAUGAUAGUGACUUGAGAGAGAAAAUACAGCAUAUUUUACCUCAUUCAUGAAAGAUUAGAAAUAUCACUUAUAUUAAACUGUUUGGUUUAAUAAAUGAUUUGGUUUUAAUUAGAGCUGGCCAGGAAUUUUUUGAUAGAAUGUUUUUUGUUGGAAAAUGACAGUUUGUUGAAACCAAAACUUUGUGCAGGAAUGUAGCAGGUUCAACAACGUUUUCAAGAGAGGUUUCUGAGGUACAAGAUGGAAUAUGUAGUCCCAGAGGGAGAGAGACAGACAGACAGAUACCAGAACAGCUGGGACUUGGGAGGCCUGUGUUCAAGACCUUGAUCCAAAUCAACUACAGUGGGGAUUCAAACCUGGGUCUUACACAUUGCAGGUGAGUUUCCUAAUACAAGGCUAUUCUGGGGCCCCUCUCUGUGUGGGGGGAAAACUUCAGAAGGUCUGUUUUGUUCCAAAGUGCAACAGAAAAUUUUUUGAAAUCUUAAAAAUUUUUGUGGGACAGGAGAACCAUUUCCCUACUAGCUCUAGUUAUAAUGCUUUGCGGGGAGACAUUUCUUUGCAUCAACUGGGAUUUUCCAUAUAAAGGUCAUAGUGAUUGACUUCUUGGAGAUAUGGCUACGUUCUUACUUAUGUCUUGCUGUAUCAUGUGCAAACUUUUUUUGAAAUGUACCUUUUGUUCUCUUUAAGUAAUUUACACAUUAUAGGCAAGAAGCCUCCUCAGAGAAAUUACUGGUUAUUUUCCCAUCCAUAUGUUUAACAAUGAGCUUGGUGUGAUGCUGUGUAUAAGAAAGAUGAUCAUUUGUAUCAUUGUUUCUACCACUGUUAUACAAUUGCAACAAAUCUUGUACAACGUAUGUCAUGUAAGGUGUCAAUGGAAAAGUUCGGAUUUACUAAGUAUGAUUAUUCUGUUUAUAUGCAUGUAUCAUCUUUGUAUGUGAAGUUAUGAAUAUUGGCUAUGGACUUGUAUCUUAAACAUGUGUUGUAUUCCUGGGUGACACCCCUCAGCAGAAUUUACAUCAGGGCUAGACAGCGAUGUGUUGAUGGCCCAUCAAGGACACUCCACUCUCAGAAUGGGUCAUUGAAGAAACUCAUGCUGCCCAGUAGGUCUUUCUGCAGUUGCCUCAGACAGCGAGGAGCCAAUGGCCAUCCCCUGUGAUUCAGCAAAACAUGUAGGGGUAUGUGAUAUGCUCAUGUGAUCCCGGACUCCAUCUUGGCCAGAAACUUUCCACAGAAAGGGGCUGUGGGCUUUGUUUGGAACAGUAAAUUUCCAUGCACAUGACAGAGGGUAUAAAAAGACACCCAAGACACCUCCACAUUGCCUCUUUCCUGCUCUAAUUCUCUGGAUUGUGGAUUUACAACUAAAAGGAGCACCUUGAACUAUGGACUGAGCACCUUCCAAUCUUUUGGAACUUGCCAGAGAGACUUUAAAAGCCAGCAGUCUAUUUCACCACUGCGACAUUAAAUCAUUUGUAUGUAUGUGAUCUAUUAACCAUUUAUAACUCUCUUCUUUUCUUUUAUUAUUGAAUCUUUAGUUAGUUUACUAAGGAUUGUCUGACAUUGUGAUAUUUGGAUAAAGUCUGAGAUUCAUAUUGACAGAAAGAAUCUCGCUUAUGGUGAAAUGGGUUUUCAAUAACCUCUCACUAUAUUAGAUUGGGUUGCCUGGAUGGGAGCCAAGGGCUGGAAUGCCUAAAGGGGAAUGUGUUUGGCUUCUGGUUAACCAGUGUGGUACUGCAGAUGCUCUUUUGUUACUGAUUUGGUGAAUCUAAUUAUAAAGUAAACCACCAGAUUUGGGGAUUGUCUGCCCGGAGUGUGGCAUUAUCAGUGUGGUCUAUCACAGGCACCCAGUCACACCUGGUGUAAGAGCUUUGGCUGGAUAAGCACCCAAACAUUCUGAUUUUUUUUUUAAAUCUUGUCAGAUCUGGACAUUUCUCCCUCUGUAUUGGACAGAAAUACAAUGGAAAAAAGCCUCUCUUGAAGUAUCUUGGUUGCUUUCAGCAAGAACCAGAAAGUCCAGAGGCACACAAAAAUGAAGUAAAAAAGGUUAAGCAAAUCUUUGCAGAUCUUAAACCUACCAACCAAAUCAAACAUCCCACCAACAACAAAUCACCACAACACAAAUUUGGUUUGAGUUUUUGGGGUAAAGGUUUGGCUCUUUCUUUUAAGAGUUUAAAAUUUAUUGUUCCAAUUUUUGAAAUAAAUUUCUUUUGUGAGAAGUUAAUGUUUCCUUUUGUAGGGUGAGUUUAGAUCGGAAACCUCAAGGUCACCGCUCAGAUAAUUUUGAGGAAACGUAUAGCUGGUAUUUUCCAAGCUGCAUAGGUGGAUUUAUCCCCACAACUUCCAUCAGUUUGAGUGGGAACAUCCAGGUAAAUUCACGUUGUCAUGUUUGAAAACCUCAGUGUUCUCUGCCUAUAACAUCCAUAGUACUUGUCUCCAUACCAGUCACUAACUGAGGAAUUUUCAACCAGUUGAUUAAGUUGUGGUUCUACUCUGAAACAUUGUUAAGAUAAAAGAUGCCUCCACCCAAUGGAUCUGCUUUUUGUAUGUAUCUACUUCUUGAUAUUAGUGACAAAGAGGUGUUAGUUCUUCAUUAAUCCCAUUUAACACUUUAAAUGGGAAAGGAAUCUGUAUUCUAUUCUGUUUUGUGAAUCUUCAACAGAAUUGUUUGCUAAGUUCCAAUCAGUCACACAUGCACAGCCAGAGGUUGCACAGGUGUUACCGAGGGCAUACCUUAAAGAUGCACAGAUAUAACUGCUGUUGUGAUUUGCCCUACAAAACCUUCAUUACUAGUUAUGAUAUAUGAGGAGGAAAGAGCCAUCUUGAUUCUCAGGUCCCUGGUUGUUUCCAAGGCUAGCAAAAGGAGGCUUAGGGCAUUUGAUAUGGAAAUCAAUUUGAGACCAUAAAUGUGGAACCCCAUGUGUAACAUUAUUGGGCUUCACCAGACUCCAGUACUGUUGCAGGUGGUGUAAGUGGCUCUUCGUAGCUGAAUGCAUAGCCAGUUAGACUGUGGGGAAAAUGACUUUUGCCAUUGAUGCUGUAGUUGCUUUUAGGUGCUUUGCUGCUGAGCCUAUCACCAGUAAAAGCUUUGUCUUAGCUUGAAUCUUUCUACUUUACUCUCUCUCACACUCAUUGGGCUAUUUCUUAAGCAUGGAGCUGCUGCCACAGAAGCAAACAAAAUAUUACAUGGUGCCAAAGCAUUAUGAAUGAUGCCAUGUUACAGGAUCAUUUUUCAGAGCAGAGCUGCACCUUAAGCAAGAUUUUGGUCCAAAUAAGUUGAUAUGGGCUGGCUUGAAUCAAAUUGCAUGCUGUUUUUUUCCUAUGCGUUGCUUGCUAAAUUCCACAUUCAUCCCCAAAUGCUGUUAAUCUAAGUGGGCUGUGUUGUUUAGUAUAAUACAGUACUUUUUCUCUCCCUUUUUAAAAACUAUUGUGUUUGAUUUGCCAGGCUACCAUCCUCAGGAAUCUUACAUCUCACUAGAGAAUGCCCACAGUUAGCAACUGAUUUUGAUACUUUCCAUCUUCAUUUCUUUUAAACUGAUGGAGUUACCUGGACCUGGACCUUUGCCUGCCCUGAAAUCUGCAGUUUUUAAAUAAUGCUACCCAGAGUGACCGUCCCUGUUUAAUUUCUUCAUUUUGUGGGCAUUUGGCAAUGAGUGAUUUUUCUAGUUUUGCUCCAGGGAACCUGUCCCAGAACAAAAUGUUAUGCAGGUACAACUGUAAACAAAACUGAAAUGGCUAGGCCAUGCAGUAGCAAUUCAAGAUCAUUUGCCAUCCUCUUGUAAUUCAGGAAAGUGUCAGCUAAGGUCAGGACUCUUCUGGGAAAAUUAGACGGAUGGUAAAUGUAUUACCAGCCGACUAUCAAACUCCACAUACCAUGAAAUAUCCCUGACUUAGGCAACCCUUCCCUUCCUGUAAUGACAGAAGGAAAGCAACUGUUUAAGAAAUCUGUCACUUUCUUAUCCUGUCUCCAAUUCCCCAAUACCAAUUUUAGUGAACCAAGUUUCUCCAUUACAUUCUGUGUGUUUGUGGGCAUAUUUGUAAAGCUCUUUAUUAAUAGAUGAAAUAAUAUCUGCAAUUUAACAUUUGGUGCUUCCCCAACCCCCGUGGGGGAAUAAGGGGGUACAAUUAUUUAAUGAUCUUUUAAACAUUUUUUUCGUAACACUGCCCCACUUCUUAUCAGAUUUUUGGCCAGUUUCUGUUCUCUGUUACGCUGAUAUAAACCAGAACUAGUACCCCUGACUUCUUUUUUGGCUGCUUGUUGUAUGUUUCACAAGGACGUGGAGAAUCAAAGCCUUUGCACCAAUGGAACUGUUCAUGGAAAGAAAGAUUUCAGGAUAGGGUCCAUAAAUGGCCUGGUGUACCCAGAGAAACUUCUGUCCAUCUACAGCAUCUCCAAGAUGCUUCUUAUCUUGGCAGCUAAGAGCUGACUUGAAUUGAAUUGGACUUGAUGACUUGAACUUGAGCACUGACCUGUAUCCUCAGUUUGAGGUAAAGAUUUUUGAGUUUCUGAUUUUGAUACUGGUCUUCAGUGGGACUAAGCACCCACAUCCCCUAUUGAUUUUGAUGAAAAGUGAUGCUGGUCGGCACCUUUUAGGGUUAGGCCCUUUGUCUGUUUCUUAUUUUAUUUUACUGUUUCUGUAAAUAUAUGUGUGUAUAUAUAUAUAUCGUCAAUAUAUGUUCCACUCUAUAUGCAUCCGAAGAAGUGGGCUGUAGUCCACGAAAGCUUAUGCUCUAAUAAAUUUGUUAGUCUCUAAGGUG